CAGCUGUAAUAGCAGGGCAGAGAGUGCUAGGGGAGGUACAAGACGGCAUGUCAGAAACAGAGUGGGGUAAAAACUUAAAGAGCUCAAGGAGAAAAGAUAAAUAUAAGCAGACAAACCCUUCCAAAGACUUCAGACCUGAGGAAGCGAGAGAUUGGGGAAAAAAUGCCCCGGGAGAGAUGAAACAGAGAAAGGAGAAAAAAGUCUUGAAAAGGAGAAGUCUUUAUCUGGUAAAGGAAUUAAAGGCUUCAGAGCUUGAUAGCUCAGAGACAGACGAACUUGGCUCCUCUGAGGAAGAGGAUUUAGAAGAUGAGGCAGCUCGCUAUGAAGAAGAGCUUCACAGAGUCAUACUGAUCAGAUUUGAUAGAGGUAGACCGCCUGAAAUUUUAUUCAGGAGAAUCAAACAAAAGGACAUCUCAAUGCCCAUGCACACCUUGAUGGGGUUAAUGUAAUUGGGUUGUGAGUGGAAAUAUUCAGGACUGUGUUUCACUUCCAUACCAUUUGUGAAUGUCAGUUGUGCUGCUCAGAUAUCCCGUAAUAUAUCUCAGUAUCUUACAGGAACUUGGUUUCAACACGUUGAUGGACUAGUCCAGGAAUUGAGACAAUCCAUCGUCCAUAUCAACUCCACUCAAGUGGAUGGUCACCGUGGAAGUGGUGGGAAAGGGGAAAUCCUACCUCUCUGCUGACACCAUCUGGUUUUUUCCCUCUUUGUCUAUUGUCUGUCCUUGGUGCACCAAGCUGUCCGUGUAUGUCAGUUUAUGUCUGUGGUUUUUGUUUCUUGUUGCUUAAAUGUUUUAUGUUUCAUGUUCAAAAGAGAAAAUGGUAAAAACUUUAUCUGUCAAUCGUUCACAUCUUGAUUUGGUUUUAACUCGUUUCAAAAAGGAACAAAUGAAUAAAAAGCAGUUUCAAUCGGCCUUUAGAGCCCUACACCUGUAGCUAGGAGCAUAGGUCACCUGGAGAAGCUGCCCGGGGGUGAGCGCCUACAUGAGCUGAUCUU
rnacentral:lncRNA from 1 species